AGAGUUUGAUCCUGGCUCAGGAUGAACGCUAGCUACAGGCUUAACACAUGCAAGUCGAGGGAACGACAUCGAAAGCUUGCUUUUGAUGGUCGUCGACCGGCGCACGGGUGAGUAACGCGUAUCCAACCUGCCCAUCACUUGGGGAGUAACCUUGCGAAAGUAAGACUAAUACCCAAUGAUAUCUCUAGAAGACAUCUGAAAGAGAUUAAAGAUUUAUCGGUGAUGGAUGGGGAUGCGUCUGAUUAGCUUGUUGGCGGGGUAACGGCCCACCAAGGCAACGAUCAGUAGGGGUUCUGAGAGGAAGGUCCCCCACAUUGGAACUGAGACAUGGUCCAAACUCCUACGGGAGGCAGCA
rnacentral:rRNA from 1 species